GACAGAGGGUGCAAACGUUGUUCGGAAUUACUGGGCGUAAAGCGUGUGUAGGCGGCUAUGUAAGUCGGAUGUGAAAGCCCCGGGCUCAACCCGGGAAGUGCACUCGAUACUGCGUAGCUUGAGUACUGGAGAGGUUGGUGGAAUUCUCGGUGUAGCGGUGAAAUGCGUAGAUAUCGAGAGGAACACCUGCGGCGAAGGCGGGUUGCUGGGCUGACACUGACGCUGAAGUGCGAAAGCUAGGGGAGCGAACGGG
rnacentral:rRNA from 1 species